rnacentral:rRNA from 1 species
AUUAGUGGCGAACGGGUGAGUAACACGUGAGUAACCUGCCCCUGACUCUGGGAUAAGCGUUGGAAACGACGUCUAAUACUGGAUAUGACUGCCGGCCGCAUGGUCUGGUGGUGGAAAGAUUUUUUGGUUGGGGAUGGACUCGCGGCCUAUCAGCUUGUUGGUGAGGUAAUGGCUCACCAAGGCGACGACGGGUAGCCGGCCUGAGAGGGUGACCGGCCACACUGGGACUGAGACACGGCCCAGACUCCUACGGGAGGCAGCAGUGGGGAAUAUUGCACAAUGGGCGAAAGCCUGAUGCAGCAACGCCGCGUGAGGGAUGACGGCCUUCGGGUUGUAAACCUCUUUUAGUAGGGAAGAAGCGAAAGUGACGGUACCUGCAGAAAAAGCACCGGCUAACUACGUGCCAGCAGCCGCGGUAAUACGUAGGGUGCAAGCGUUGUCCGGAAUUAUUGGGCGUAAAGAGCUCGUAGGCGGUUUGUCGCGUCUGCUGUGAAAUCCCGAGGCUCAACCUCGGGCUUGCAGUGGGUACGGGCAGACUAGAGUGCGGUAGGGGAGAUUGGAAUUCCUGGUGUAGCGGUGGAAUGCGCAGAUAUCAGGAGGAACACCGAUGGCGAAGGCAGAUCUCUGGGCCGUAACUGACGCUGAGGAGCGAAAGCGUGGGGAGCGAACAGGAUUAGAUACCCUGGUAGUCCACGCCGUA